GGCAUAACCCCGGGAAACUGGGGAUAAUUCCGGAUAACGCACAUAUGCUGGAAUGCUUUAUGCGUCAAAUGGAUUCGUCUGCCCAAGGAUGGGUCUGCGGCCUAUCAGGUAGUAGUGGGUGUAAUGUACCUACUAGCCGACGACGGGUACGGGUUGUGAGAGCAAGAGCCCGGAGAUGGAUUCUGAGACAUGAAUCCAGGCCCUACGGGGCGCAGCAGGCGCGAAAACUUUACAAUGCGGGAAACCGUGAUAAGGGGACACCGAGUGCCAGCAUCAUAUGCUGGCUGUCCAGGUGUGUAAAAUACACCUGUUAGCAAGGGCCGGGCAAGACCGGUGCCAGCCGCCGCGGUAACACCGGCGGCCCCGAGUGGUGAUCGUGAUUAUUGGGUCUAAAGGGUCCGUAGCCGGUUUGGUCAGUCCUCCGGGAAAUCUGAUAGCUCAACUAUUAGGCUUUCGGGGGAUACUGCCAGACUUGGAACCGGGAGAGGUAAGAGGUACUACAGGGGUAGGAGUGAAAUCUUGUAAUCCCUGUGGGACCACCUGUGGCGAAGGCGUCUUACCAGAACGGGUUCGACGGUGAGGGACGAAAGCUGGGGGCACGAACCGGAUUAGAUACCCGGGUAGUCCCAGCCGUAAACGAUGCUCGCUAGGUGUCAGACAUGGCGCGACCGUGUCUGGUGCCGCAGGGAAGCCGUGAAGCGAGCCACCUGGAAGUACGGCCGC
rnacentral:rRNA from 1 species